UGUAGCUCAGUGGUAGAGCACUUGCCUAGCAUGUGUGAGGCCCUGGGUUCAAUCCUCAGCA
rfam:Ictidomys tridecemlineatus contig043788, whole genome shotgun sequence.